rnacentral:lncRNA from 1 species
GAAAAGUUACAGAAUUCAGAACUCAUUUGUGAUUUGAUUCAUCUGAUAUAUUCUGGUCUUUCUUCACAAGGAAAACAACCUGUAAACUUAUAACUAGACAUGAACCCUUCAUCUGGUAAAAUUCUUCCAGAUCUUCUUAUAAAUUUUCUUCUGGAUCUUUGUUUACUAAAGUUUCAUGAAAGAUACAAUUUCUGAAGUCCUUCAGAUGCAACGAGGGUCUUGCUACGGGACCUUUUGGUAGCAAAGGUGAGCCAACAAUGUAGCGCAACGAGGCAAUCAUGGUAGGAUGGAGACGAUUGAUGGAAAACGAUCGUAAUAGAGCGAGAGAUUGGUAAGGCGAUAAGACAAGUAUCGAUAAUUAUCUUUUUGAUACUUAUAAAAUAUAAGAUACGAUAAGACAUAG